CCCUUAGAUGUUCUGGGCCGCACGCGCGCUACACUGACUACUUCAACGAGUUGUUUCCUUGAUCGAAGGGUCUGGGUAAUCUUUGAAAGGUAGUCGUGAUGGGGAUAGAUCCUUGCAAUUUUUGAUCUUCAACGAGGAAUUCCUAGUAAACGCAAGUCAUCAGCUUGCAUUGAUUACGUCCCUGCCCUUUGUACACACCGCCCGUCGCACCUACCGAUUGAAUGGUCCGGUGAAUCUUUAGGACUGUGGCUGAGGCCUUGCCUUGUGCGGGUCUGGCCGUGGGAAUUUAGUUAAACCUUACCAUUUAGAGGAAGGUGAAGUCGUAACA
rnacentral:rRNA from 1 species